ACGGGUGCGUAACACGUGCUGCAACCUACCUUUAUCAGGGGAAUAGCCUUUCGAAAGGAAGAUUAAUACUCCAUAAUAUAUUUGAUGGCAUCAUUAGAUAUUGAAAACUCCGGUGGAUAGAGAUGGGCACGCGCAAGAUUANAUAGUUGGUGAGGUAACGGCUCACCAAGUCUGUGAUCUUUAGGGGUCCUGAGAGGGAGAUCCCCCACACUGGUACUGAGACACGGACCAGACUCCUACGGGAGGCAGCAGUGAGGAAUAUUGGACAAUGGGUGAGAGCCUGAUCCAGCCAUCCCGCGUGAAGGAUUAAGGUCCUACGGAUUGUAAACUUCUUUUGUACAGGAAUAAACCUAUUUACGUGUANAUAGCUGAAGGUACUGUACGAAUAAGCACCGGCUAACUCCGUGCCAGCAGCCGCGGUAAUACGGAGGGUGCAAGCGUUAUCCGGAUUUAUUGGGUUUAAAGGGUCCGCAGGCGGACUGAUAAGUCAGUGGUGAAAUCUCAUAGCUUAACUAUGAAACUGCCAUUGAUACUGUUGGUCUUGAGUAA
rnacentral:rRNA from 1 species